rnacentral:tRNA from 1 species
GUUUUAAUAGUUUAAUAAAAAUUUUAGUUUUGUAAACUAAAGAUGACAAAAUUCUUAAAAUU